AAUGAAUGAUGACAACGUGUUUCGGUCCCAGAUGAUACCAAAUGAUAAUACUUUCCCAUUUUCUGACAUU
ensembl:snoRNA SNORD73 Small nucleolar RNA SNORD73